rnacentral:misc_RNA from 1 species
UCAAGAAAAUUAAAUGCUACCUCGAUGUUGAAUUAAGAAAAGAUCUAAUAGAAAAAAAUUAGAUUAUAGGUCUGUUCGACCUUUAAAUUCUUACAUGAUUUGAGUUAAGACCGGUGUAAGCCAGGUUGGUUUCUAUCUUCAUAAUAGAAGUUUUUAUAGUACGAAAGGACCUAAAAACUUAAUUUUAUUAAUUAAUUAGCUUAUAUAAAGCAAGUAUUUUGAAAAUACUAGAAAGAUUUAAAAAUUUAUUAAUUUUAUGU